rnacentral:rRNA from 1 species
UCCUACGGGGGGCAGCAGUAGGGAAUUUUCGUCAAUGGGCGCAAGCCUGAACGAGCAAUGCCGCGUGAACGAGGAAGGUCUUCGGAUCGUAAAGUUCUGUUGAAGGGGAAAAAGAGCGGAGAGAGGAAAUGGUCUCCGAUUGAUAUUACCCUUCGAGGAAGUCACGGCUAACUACGUGCCAGCAGCCGCGGUAAUACGUAGGUGGCGAGCGUUCUCCGGAAUGAUUGGGCGUAAAGGGUGCGUAGGCGGCCUGCUAAGUCUGGAGUGAACGGUACCGGCUCAACCGGAACACACUCUGGAAACUG